GUGAGGAAUAUUGGACAAUGGGCGCAAGCCUGAUCCAGCCAUGCCGCGUGCAGGAAGACGCAUCUAUGGUGUGUAAACUGCUUUUGUACGGGAAGAAACACUCCCUCGUGAGGGAGCUUGACGGUACCGUAAGAAUAAGGAUCGGCUAACUCCGUGCCAGCAGCCGCGGUAAUACGGAGGAUCCAAGCGUUAUCCGGAAUCAUUGGGUUUAAAGGGUCCGUAGGCGGUUUAAUAAGUCAGUGGUGAAAGCCCAUCGCUCAACGAUGGAAGGGCCAUUGAUACUGUUAGACUUGAAUUACAAGGAAGUAACUAGAAUAUGUAGUGUAGCGGUGAAAUGCUUAGAUAUUACAUGGAAUACCAAUUGCGAAGGCAGGUUACUACUUGUGGAUUGACGCUGAUGGACGAAAGCGUGGGGAGCGAACAGGAUUAGAAACCCUAGUAGUCC
rnacentral:rRNA from 1 species